UUGUCUAUCAUCUGUGCAACGGCGGGGAUCGGACCUAGUCAAAGUUUCUGAGGUUAUUUUGUCGUUUUUAUUAUCAAGCGUGAUGGCAGAAGGAAUUGCUUGCAACUCGCAAAAAGUUAAAUGUUUUUUUGGACUAGCAUUUGAAGGAUGUUUUGGUACUCUUUGUUCUUGAUCGUGGCAACAGGGCGCCUUACUGGUGGUAUCUUAUUCCCAGUCUGGCAGGCCCAAGCACAUGUAUCCAGAUUCACCACUGUGCUACAGUAUUUGAAAGUUAUUGGAUCAGAGCCGUUCGUUGUUCUUUGGAAAGAAA